GGGAGGUUUACAUGACGAGCACGCAUUUUCCAAAAUGUUCAGACAGGGUAGGACCUCUCCUGUAGACAACACAUUUGGCCUUGUUUUAAAGAACUAAAAGACAUACAUCCUCUGUCUCCAAGACAGCUAGGAGAGGACUACUGCUUAGGUAUGCAUGGUGAAACCCUACCCAUUGCUUGCAAGGCUCUGCUGCAGAAUAACUAAUCUUGGGAACUAUACAAAAUAAAAGAAUUUGUCAACUCCUGUGCCAGCUAUACACAUGUGACACCUUUAAUUUAGGUUCUUACUUCCUCAGUCAAAAAAAAAAAAAAAAAAAAAAAAAAAAAACAAAGUCACUGAGAAGCAGAGAUUUUGAAACAGAAAACUGAAGCAAGAAUUCUCUUAAAAGAGGCCAUUUUUACAGGGCUGUGUGUGUUAACCAAACUUUGUGGCUUGUUGGUGUUCUUUAUGUUCCCAAUUUAAAGACUAUUCCUGUCGGUGUGAGUGAAUUAAGAGGAAACCUGCAUAAAGAGGAAGAAUACAGCGACCACAACAACAAAGAAGCGACUCCAGGGGUAGAACACUGUGUGAGAGAAGUCUAUCAGAAGCAACUCCAUGGGAAGAAAUCAUAAUCUGCGGUAGGGACACUCACUGCCUUGGACAGACAGCAGCCCCCAAAAGGUGCGCUUUGGACCUCAAUGCAGGCAGUCUCCACCUACUGCUCCGCUCACCACAGCCUCCUGCCAAUGACUGUGACAGCCUUGACAGUGAUCUCUCCCCACCACCUCCUGCUGCCUCCACAACUCAGGGAUCUUAAUGUAGAGCCUUUCUCGGAGACCAUCAAGGCCCACCAUCCUCUCUUUUUCAGAGGAAGCCCCAUCUUGGAAAGCCAUCGCCCUGGCCGCUCAUGUCCUUAGCUUCCCACCCUGCCACUGCUGGCUCAGUGACCCUGCACCUGCUGGCAGGGAUAAGGAACCUGACACUGAUAAAUUAAAGAAAGGGCUUUGGCUCCCAGUGCGUAGAGGUUCCAGACUAUAGAUGGCCGGCUCUCUCUCAGGCAGGACAGCGUGACGGAGGGGCAACGCAGAGGAGGAACCACUCAUGGCAAGGCAAGCAGGAAGCAGCAGUGAUUCAGGGAGGAGUGGAGAUGGGCAGUAUCCUGCCAGGUCAGACCCACAGGACCCCCUCUUCCCACCAGUGUCACACCCCCGCCAUAAACCCAUUAGUGACUGAUCCAGCAUCACCCCCAAGUCCCCACCUGUGAGUCCCCGAGGCCCUGGGGGACACCCAGCACAUAGCACCUCCCACAACCUGUCACACCUCCAUGCAUUCAUUUCAGAGUUCUCUCCUUCCCUAACUCAGAGCAUCAACAAGAACUCCUUUUUUAAGAUCCAUUCAAAUAUCUUCUCCACAGAGCAUCCCUCAACAUCACCAAAAAUAAUGAGUCCUCCUCUUUUCUCCUCCUGAGCCCUCUUUAUUCAUUCUGCUAGAGAGCAGCAAACGCCCCUGCACUGUGCAGUUACCAAACACUUCUUAUUUCAUCAAUGCCAAGUCACGAACUUGCGACACCCGAGCAUCUUAUUUAUGUCUCUUUCCCUCAGAAUGGGCCUAGUUUGAGCUACUGAAUCCAGAAUGCCCUAGUUAGCUGUAGGAGCAGACAAAUAAUUUAAUUAAGGCUGCAAAAGUACUUGGCUUUGCAGAGAAUUGCUUGAGAAGAAUUAUGUAGAUAUAGACUAUAAUACUUUCUAAAGGCUUAUAAUACAGACCCUUAAGUCUGAACUGAAGUGCAUCCUUCCGCGUAACAUCUCUUUCUAGCCUUAUAAUCUUGUAAUAUUUAAACAUUUUAAUAUCAGGACUUAAAUUUCUGCACGUUGCAAUGACCAUGUAGGGGUUGGCUGCUACAUUCCAGGAUUUCUAACAUCUCGUGACUAUUCUCAGUGACAGCAUCUACUUCUCCCAGAACUUAGUGCUCUGUUUGUCUGUGCUCUGUCUAUAUAGUCCACGGUGACUUCUCCAUACAGUUCUGGGUCUUGUUCUAACGAAGGCAGUGGUAUGUGACACAGUCCAAAUAAGAAUCUCUCCUGAAAUUUGAAUUUGGCCCUCAGAUAAAAAUACCUGUAAGUUUUGAAGUCUAUCCACUUGCAUAGACAUGCAGAACAGUUUACAAACUUCUGGCUACUUAGAUACAAGAUGCUGUUCUUAUAUUUUUCUUUUGAGCCAAAUUUUGCAGAAUUCCUGUUACUUCUAUAAGGUAUACAACAUUCUUUUAAUGUUCAUUUUUUGUUUUUGUUUCUGGGGGUUGAACGCCAGACAGGCACUUAAACUGCUGAGCUAAAACCCCAGCUCCUAAUGUUCAUUUAUUCAUUCAGAUUAUCCAAGCUGGUUUUUAGGGUUAGUCCAAAGGAAGUCCAGAAGUGUCCUCUGAUUAAUAAAAGUGGAUUAGCCCUGCUCACUACAGCUGAUAUGCAAAGUUCUGUGGCACACUCAUAGGGGUUUGUAGAUGGCUAAUCCCCUCCUCACAUCCCUCCUCCUUCCCCAGGCUCCUCUCCAUCUCUGUAGAGUCUACCACCCUGUUUCUUUACAGGGCUGUUUAUUUUACUCUACAAUUUGUUUAAAAUGAAUGAAUGCUGGGGAGUACGUGGGGGAAAAGAAACUCACAUUGUUGGUGAGACAGUAAGCUAGUACAACCAAUUUGGAAACCAGUAUGGAAAUUUCUCAAAAAAGAAAAACUAGAAAUUCCAUUUGACCCAGGCAAACUUCUCCUCAGUAUCUUUCCAGAAGGGCUAAAAUCGCUAUUUGCAGAUAUGCACAUUCCCAUCUACAAAUCACGGUCACCAAGUCUUGGAAGCAGUUUUAUGUUCAUCAGUAGAUGAAUGGGUGAAGAAAAUGUGGUAUUUAUACACAAGGGAUCACUGCUUAGCCACAAUGAAGAGUAAGGUUAAAUUUGACUCAUUUGUACAAAAAUAAUGAACUUGACACCAUAUUGCUAAAUGGAAUAAAUCAAUCACAAAAGGUUAAAAACUACCGCGUUGUUUCUCUCUGUCUAACUCCAUCGUAAGGUGAGGUACAUCUAUAUAGUCUGCCAUGGGGCUGGGUAACGUUGAUUCACCUACCCAGCUCCUGUAAAUCUUCUUUUCCUCCCACCACAGGAGUGGUCUCACACUGAGGAAGUCAGGCAGUAAGAAUGUACAGUACGUUUAGCUAAAUAUGAACUUUAUGAGCCAAUCAGAAGAGACCACAGCUCCACAGCGCCCAUGAAGCUCCCAAUUUGCAUGCUCAUGGGAGCCCCCUCCGGCCGUCACGCAACUCCAUCCCAUCCUGACCUUGUUCUCUCCUGGAAUACAAUUUAUCCCACACCUCUCUCCACACUUCUUUCCAAGUGGAAAUCACCAAAGCCACUUACUAUUUUAUGCCUGAUAACUUGUACUUUAUUUGCGUAAACAUUUCUCUAUAAAUUAUCAUGAAAAGUGAAGCUUGUUGUCAGGACAACCAAGAAGAAAAAUCUCUAAUGUUGUAUUGUUGUCAAAUUACUGACUUGUUCUGUGCUUUUGCCCUUGUGUUUGCAAAAAUAAAUCCUUCUGCCAAAA